rnacentral:rRNA from 1 species
AGAGUUCGGUCCUGGCUCAGGAUGAACGCUGGCGGCGUGCUUAACACAUGCAAGUCGAGCGAAGCGGUUUCAAUGAAGUUUUCGGAUGGAAUUGAAAUUGACUUAGCGGCGGACGGGUGAGUAACGCGUGGGUAACCUGCCUUACACUGGGGGAUAACAGUUAGAAAUGACUGCUAAUACCGCAUAAGCGCACAGGGCCGCAUGGUCUGGUGUGAAAAACUCCGGUGGUGUAAGAUGGACCCGCGUCUGAUUAGGUAGUUGGUGGGGUAACGGCCCACCAAGCCGACGAUCAGUAGCCGACCUGAGAGGGUGACCGGCCACAUUGGGACUGAGACACGGACCAAACUCCUACGGGAGGCAGCAGUGGGGAAUAUUGCACAAUGGGGGAAACCCUGAUGCAGCGACGCCGCGUGAGUGAAGAAGUAUUUCGGUAUGUAAAGCUCUAUCAGCAGGGAAGAAAAUGACGGUACCUGACUAAGAAGCCCCGGCUAACUACGUGCCAGCAGCCGCGGUAAUACGUAGGGGGCAAGCGUUAUCCGGAUUUACUGGGUGUAAAGGGAGCGUAGACGGUUAAGCAAGUCUGAAGUGAAAGCCCGGGGCUCAACCCCGGUACUGCUUUGGAAACUGUUUGACUUGAGUGCAGGAGAGGUAAGUGGAAUUCCUAGUGUAGCGGUGAAAUGCGUAGAUAUUAGGAGGAACACCAGUGGCGAAGGCGGCUUACUGGACUGUAACUGACGCUGAGGCACGAAAGCGUGGGGAGCAAACAGGAUUAGAAACCCCAGUAGUCCUGAGUUUGCCACUAGAU